rnacentral:ncRNA from 1 species
AUAGAACCUAUGAUGAAGAAAAGUAAUUGAGAUGACACAUGGAGAGAGAAAAAAUGCCUUGGGCUGAAAGCAUUUUACAUGAUGACUCAAUGAAUGAACACUUCGGAGGUUUCGCUCUGAAAGCACGGUUAGUAGGAGCUGAACGGUUUCGUACGUUAACGAAUGAGUGGAAGUGUACAGCAUGUAUGCUUCAAUUAGGGUGGUACCACGUGAUUUAAACUCUCGUCCCUACU